rnacentral:lncRNA from 1 species
CCUUAGAGCCUUGAUGCGACAUUGAAGCGCUCGCAAAGCUAGGCGAAGUGCUCAACCUGUUUUGAGCCUCGCUUCAGGGCUUAAGCGCGCGUUUGACAACACUGUCCCUGAACUGUUUAGUAUUGCUUUUGCCUCACCUUUAAUGUGUGAGUGUGGGAUGUAAUCUUAUUUAUUUUUACUGUAAUACUUUCAAGUUUGACAAAUAUUGCAUGUAAUAGGUACAACAAGGUGAUGUUGGUGGAAGUGAUGAAGUUCAUGAAGUGCAAUUCAAUAUAAAAAGGACAGACAUGUCCAAUGGCAUGCUGAAACAAAUGAGAGCCUCAAAAACAACAUUGUUCAGAAGGCUGUUAUUACCUCUUCACUGCUUUCUCUUUUAAAUAUCUCAAGAGCUUGGAUAUGUGUGGGCUCAUCGUAUUUCAAAGCUUAGAUAGAAAGAAAGAGGUCGUGUUGUUCUGAGAUGGAAAAACAUUCAUACUGACAGCAGAGCUAUGAUUUCCUCCUUAAUACUUCUGUAAACUAUAUGCAUAGCUGAAUGGGUUGAGGAAUGUGUUAGAUUUGCUCAUUCGCAGUUGUUAACACGGGGAUAAAUUGUUCAUGAACACGUUUUUGUAAGUAGCUAUUUUUUGUAACAGGUCAUUUUUCAUGUAAUACGUGUUAGUAUUCGAUUGAAUUUUUGGAGGAGAAUAAGUUGAGGUUUAAUAGUUCUUUUAAGAGAAAUGAGUCAGGGUGAUGCAAUACAGUUGUGGCUGCUCAGUUUCUUUGCUUGACAACAAAGAGAGUACUUCGUUUGCAUUACCAAAAACCUACUUAUAUUGGUUUUGUAAAGUUUUUGCCUUAAAGUUUUAGUAGAAAAUUGUCCCUCUGCAGUUUGACAUUACCAAAAUCAAUGGCUUCCUGAGGCCUCCUUUUGAUCUCUAUUCUCCAUUUGCUAAUCAUGAAAUGAAGUUGCAAUGCAUGUAAUAGAACUUUUGAUGCCAGCAG